rnacentral:rRNA from 1 species
GACGAACGCUGGCGGGCGUGCCUAACACAUGCAAGUCGAGCGGAGUCGAUCGACGGAAGCCUUCGGGCGGAAGAUGGUUGACUUAGCGGCGGAUGGGUGAGUAACGCGUGGGCAACCUGCCUCGAAGACCGGGAUAACAGCCCGAAAGGGCUGCUAAUACCGGAUGUGGUCAAGGAUCCGCAUGGAUUUUUGAUUAAAGGGGAAACCCGUUUCGAGAUGGGCCCGCGUCCUAUCAGCUAGUUGGUGAGGUAAAAGCUCACCAAGGCGACGACGGGUAGCCGGCCUGAGAGGGUGACCGGCCACACUGGAACUGAGACACGGUCCAGACUCCUACGGGGGGCAGCAGUGGGGAAUCUUCCACAAUGGGCGAAAGCCUGAUGGAGCGACGCCGCGUGAGCGAAGAAGGCCUUCGGGUUGUAAAGCUCUGUCUGGAGGGACGAAGGAAGUGACGGUACCUCCGGAGGAAGCCACGGCUAACUACGUG